rnacentral:sRNA from 1 species
CUGAUGUCAUCUUCUAUUUAUAUGCAGAACAGAUGCAUCAGGGAUCGAGGCAAUGCAAACUUCCCCACUUUGUUCCACCAAAUAUGCCUUAAUGCUGAUUUGGUAGAACCAUUUGUACAGGUAAGAGAGUAACGCUGAUUCAGCUGGUGGCUGAG